UACACUUAACAUAUUUUGAAAAACAAAGUCAUGAAAUUUACAUGAAUUAUAAAAUAAAUCAGAUUUUAACUUGGUACAAAUACACAUAAAAUUGUGUGAAGAUGCACAUAAAAUGUGACGAUAGACGAAAAGACAUGCACCCCAAAACCUUUCGAAUAUACUUGAAAUUAAAAUGGAGCAAAUCCCAAAUCAACUACACAAAAAGCAAAGUCAAUCCUAAUCUGAUAUGUGCCUUCAGUUUCC
rnacentral:lncRNA from 1 species